UGGAGCGUUCUCUGAGUCCCGCUUGCAGAGUCUGUUGCGAGGGGAGUGGAAGCUGCAAGGAUCCCAUGACCAGCUCAGCUUAAAUCUCUCCCUCUUUUCCCACAUUAAACAUUUGUAAUUUAUAAUGUCUGUCGCAUCGCAGAACGAAACGCGAAAGUUUACAUUAGUGUUUUUCAAGUUUGACAUUUUUAAGAUAUGUGGACUUCAACUCCCAGAAUUCUGCAACCAGUAUGCUGACUGAGGGAUUCUGGGAAGUGAAGUCCACACAGCUUAGAAUCAUACGACUGGAAGGGGUUUAGGAGGUCUUGUAGUUUAACUCUCUGCCAGGCAGGAAUCCUUAUACCAUCCUGGACAAAUGAUUGUCUAAUCUUUUUUUGAAAACCUCCAGCAAUGAACACCCACAACUCUGGGAAGCAAGCUGUUCCGUUGUUGUUGUUUUAACUGUUUAACUCUUAGUUCCAGGUUGAAUCUUCUGACCAGCUUCCAGCCUUGCUUCUUGUCCUUAAGUGCUAUGGAGAAUAAAUCGAGCCCCCUCUUCCCUGUUACAGCUCUUCAGGGAAUUGCACAAAGAAAUCCCGGUAGAGCGAGUAAACGGGCGGAGAAGUUCUUUGAAGAUCUAAUCCUGGGCGAGGCUGAAUUAAGAUCACAUGAAGGGUUGAAACGCGCGGAAAAUGGGGCGGUGCUCAUCUCUGUUUCAAAGCCGAAGAGCCAGUGCUGUCCAAAGACGUCUCUGUGGUCAUGUGGCCAGCAUGACUCAACGCCAAAGGCCCACGGACCACUGUUACCUUCCCACCAAAGGUGGUCCCUAUUUUUCUACUUGCAUUUUUUAUGUGCUUUCAAACUGCUAGGUUGGCAAAAGCUAAGACAAGUAACGGGAGCUCACCCCGUUAUACAGCACUAGGGAUUCAAACCGCUGACUUGCCGUCCAUUGACAAGCUUAGCAUCUUAGCCACUGAGCCACCACAUCCCUCUCUUAAUCCAUAGCAUGGUCUUAUUCUGAAUUUUUUUAGCAAUGUUGCCCUUUGCUCAGUCAAGAUUAGCAACCUCUUUCAGUUGUUUCCAGACAUUCAGCAUUAACAUGUGAUGAUUACUAUAUGAACAAUGACACCAUUUAUUUAGAGAGAAGUUUUAAUAGUUUGAAAAUACAGUAUACUCUCUUAAGGUUCAUUACAAAGUGAUUCCUUAGUAAUCCUAUGAUUCAAUAAAGUAUUUCAUUCCUAUUAUUUAAUAACAUCUAUCUUUCCUAAGGCUUCCCAAGGCUCUGUGUGCUCUAUGCCUUUGUUUCUUCUUAUUAUUAUUGGAAGGAACUCUAUUCUUUAUAAUGAUAUGAUUUCACUAUAAGGAGGUUCAUAAUAUUUUCAAGAGAUGAAAAUUAGCAAGAACACCAAUUCUCUGCUUGCCUGCAUGCCUUUUUCUGACAACCACAUCUCUAUUUCUAAACUUGGAAAUAAGCUGAAUAAAUGAAAUAACUUUUGUGUAGGAAGAGAAUGUUAAAAAAACAUUCAUAAACAUGCAUAAAACAUUAUGCAGGUUAGGCUGCAUAACAGCUAAUGCACCUGGGGUUGUUGUGUGGAAAAUAAGAGGCAGAAGUAUUUGGUAUAUAAAUGGUUGCUUAUAGUUGGCAAUUGAGACUGGGAACUCUGUCUAUAAGUGCAUGAGGUCAUAUGACUGCCAGUUUAUGUCAGCAGUUCUAGCAGUCCCAGUUGCUGUUGUCUGAUGCAUCCUGCAUGAUCACAGUCAUGUGAUCUCCAUUUGCAACCCUCCUGCUGGCUUCUUUGUUGGCUUGGCUUGUCGUAAGUCUGCAGUAUAGGAUGCAAUUGCUGAUCACUUGAUUACGGCAUACCGCAACGUCAUAAUUGUGAGCCAGUUGCCAAGUGUACAAAUUGUGAUCAUGUGAACCCAGGAGUGCCGCAACAACUGCAAGUAUGUAGACCCAAUGUAAGUUCCCUUAUUCAGUGCCAUUGUAACUUUGAACAGUCACUGAACAAGUGGACAUUAAACGAGGACUAUCUGGAUAAUAAAAGGCAGGAUAACAAUAUAAUAAUAGUAUUUUAUUUUAGUAAAAAUGUUCAACAUCUUAAUUUUUCAGUAUUAAAAAGCCUGUUUUAGGAAAUCUACAUUGUAUCCAUUUCUCAAGUAAAAUAAAAUAAAAACAUGAAAACGUUGUUUUACAAUUGCUCUGUGCCUUUCACAAUUUCUUCUUUGUGGUCUCUCAUACAGAUUAGAUUAGCUUCAUAAUCUCUGUCAUUUUUUAUACUUCAAUUAGUAUUUAUUUAUUGAAUUGUUAUUCUAUAAAUAUAGUAAAGAGUAUUUACUUUUUAUUAUGAGCUAUUUACUUGCCACAAACAUGUUGAUAUAUAUUCUGCUUCAUACAUACGUUUUUCCCUAUGUACUGAUCUAAUAAAAUGUUUAGAAUCAGAUGUACUUAAACCUUAGAAACAAACAAACAGCCAUGGGACUAAAAAUCAUGGAAUGCUUGCUUUUGACAAAAGCAGUAAAUCUUGAGAACGUUUAAAAAAAAACAGACCUAGAUGAACAGAAUAAUCCUGAACAUUACUCAGAGGACACCCCAGUUGACUUAAAUCUCCAUCAAGGUUUUCUACCAUGAACAAAAGUGUUAGGUAUUUAUUUAUUUAAUAAUUGUAUAUGGCUGCCCAUUUCAUGAGUCUGGUAAUAACAGUUAAACAUAAUAAAACCACAGAAAUAACAUAAAAUAACAUAGCAGCCAUGAUCCAUUAAAGAGGAAAAGAGGUAUCUUGGCAACUGAACAGUUUAGCAAAUCCCAUGAAAAUAUUACCAUGAUUUCAGUAGAGGAAAUAAUAGGACAAGGAUACUGCAUACUAGAAAAAUUUAUUAUUUUGUAACCAUUAUAAGUACAAAUGUAAAGAAAAUUUAGCACCAAAGUGAUUUAAGAUAUUUUCAAGCCCUACCUUGAUGUUUUUGUUUUCACUCCACAUAUUCUUCUGUAAAAAUCCAACUGUAACAGUACCCAAGUGAUUCAUUGUCAUAUAAAGAUAAUGACACAAUAUAAAGACAAUAUAAAAUGAGUAUAGAUCAAUACAUGAAAACAAAAAAAGAAUGGAACAUUUGCUGUUCAAUUAUAGUUAAUUGAAUGUUAUAUAUUGGUUGAAAUGGCCUAGUUAAAAUGAUUUGUGCUUGUGAUUUCAGAGGGCUAUAAGGGUAGUUUUGGCGAGGAAGCAACUUCAAGGAGCACAUACGGUAAAGUCCUUCCCUCCAAAAUGAAGGAUAACGUUUGCACCCCAUACUUAGAUGCACAGGAAUUAUGGCUGGAACAGCUAUUCUGCUGAAUUUACAGGGGGAACAUACAAGAUGAUCAUGAUUUGUGACCCUUUUUUUACCGAUUUGCGACCCUUUUUUUACCGAUUUGCAGCAAAAAAACCCAAAAACCCCAUUAGAGAAGCUGAAUUUGCUUUAUGACCAGUAUAAAAAUUGUAAUAUUAAGUCUGAUUUGACUUAUGGCUGCAAUGAUAGAAAUUCUGGUCCCAAUUGUGGUUGUAAAUCUGUAGCUACUUGCUGCAAAGAGACAAAAUGACCUCAGGAUAUUUAACCUUUUGUAAUGCCUCUUCCUCAGCUGCCAUCAACUUUUGGUAAACAGAUUAAAAUGAAAUUAGAUGGGGUAGGGACAAUAAAU